rnacentral:rRNA from 1 species
AUGCAAGUCGAACGAUGAAGCCCAGCUUUGCUGGGUNGAUUAGUGGCGAACGGGUGAGUAACACGUGAGCAACGUGCCCAUAACUCUGGGAUAACCUCCGGAAACGGUGGCUAAUACUGGAUAUCUAACAUGAUCGCAUGGUCUGUGUUUGGAAAGAUUUUUUGGUUAUGGAUCGGCUCACGGCCUAUCAGCUUGUUGGUGAGGUAAUGGCUCACCAAGGCGACGACGGGUAGCCGGCCUGAGAGGGUGACCGGCCACACUGGGACUGAGACACGGCCCAGACUCCUACGGGAGGCAGCAGUGGGGAAUAUUGCACAAUGGGCGAAAGCCUGAUGCAGCAACGCCGCGUGAGGGAUGACGGCCUUCGGGUUGUAAACCUCUUUUAGUAGGGAAGAAGCGAAAGUGACGGUACCUGCAGAAAAAGCACCGGCUAACUNCGUGCCAGCAGCCGCGGUAAUACGUAGGGUGCAAGCGUUGUCCGGAAUUAUUGGGCGUAAAGAGCUCGUAGGCGGUUNGUCGNGUCUGCUGUGAAAUCCCGAGGNUCAACCUCGGGUCUGCAGUGGGUACGGGCAGACUAGAGUGUGGUAGGGGAGAUUGGAAUUCCUGGUGUAGCGGUGGAAUGCGCAGAUAUCAGGAGGAACACCGAUGGCGAAGGCAGAUCUCUGGGCCAUUACUGACGCUGAGGAGCGAAAGCAUGGGGAGCGAACAGGAUUAGAUACCCUGGUAGUCCAUGCCGUAAA